rnacentral:rRNA from 1 species
CAAUAGCGUAUAUUAAAGUUGUUGCGGUUAAAAAGCUCGUAGUUGGAUUUCUGCCGAGGACGACCGGUCCGCCCUCUGGGUGAGCAUCUGGGACGGCCUGGGCAUCCUCUUGGGGAACGUAGCUGCACUUGACUGUGUGGUGCGGUAUCCAGGACUUUACUUGAGGAAAUUAGAGUGUUUCAAGCAGGCGCACGCCUUGAAUACAUUAGCAUGGAAUAAUAAGAUAGGACCUCGGUUCUAUUUUGUUGGUUUUCGGAAGUCGAGGUAAUGAUUAAGAGGGACAGACGGGGGCAUUCGUACUGGGCCGCCAGAGGUGAAAUUUCUUUAACUGGCUCAUGACGAACCACUGCGAAAGCAUUUGCCAAGAAUGUUUUCAUUAAUCAAGAACGAAAGUCAGAGGGUCGAAGACGAUUAGAU